rnacentral:rRNA from 1 species
UACUGAGGAGCCAAGCGUUGUCCGGAUUGACUGGGCGUAAAGCGCACGCAGGCGGAUGCGCGCGUGGGGUGUGAAAUCUGGCCGCUUAACGGCCAGGCGCCAUCCCAUACGGCGCGUCUGGAGUGAUGCAGAGGUCGAUGGAAUUGCCGGUGUAGUGGUGAAAUGCGUAGAGAUCGGCAGGAACACCCAGGGGGAAACCAGUCGACUGGGCAUCUACUGACGCUGAGGUGCGAGAGCGUGGGGAGCGAACCGG